rnacentral:rRNA from 1 species
UGCAAGUCGAACGGUAACAGGCCUAUGUGAUCCCUUCGGGGUGAACUUGGUGCUGACGAGUGGCGGACGGGUGAGUAAUGCAUAGGAAUCUGCCCUUUAGCGGGGGAUAACUCGGGGAAACUCGGGCUAAUACCGCAUACGCCCUACGGGGGAAAGCGGGGGCCUUCGGGCCUCGCACUAUUGGAUGAGCCUAUGUCUGAUUAGUUUGUUGGUGGGGUAAUGGCCUACCAAGGCGACGAUCAGUAGCUGGUCUGAGAGGACGAUCAGCCACACUGGGAUUGAGAUACGGCCCAGACUCCUACGGGAGGCAGCAGUGGGGAAUAUUGGACAAUGGGCGAAAGCCUGAUCCAGCAAUGCCGCGUGUGUGAAGAAGGCCCGAGGGUUGUAAAGCACUUUCAACAGUAAAGAAAAGUUCGGUGCUAAUACCACCGAACCCUGACGUUAGCUGUAGAAGAAGCACUGGCUAACUCCGUGCCAGCAGCCGCGGUAAUACGGAGGGUGCGAGCGUUAAUCGGAAUUACUGGGCGUAAAGCGUGCGUAGGUGGCUUGGUAAGUCGGAUGUGAAAGCCCCGAGCUCAACUUGGGAAUUGCAUUCGAUACUGCUAGGCUAGAGUAUGGUAGAGGGAAGUGGAAUUUCCGGUGUAGCGGUGAAAUGCGUAGAGAUCGGAAGGAACACUAGUGGCGAAGGCGGCUUCCUGGACCAAUACUGACACUGAGGUACGAAAGCGUGGGGAGCAAACAGGAUUAGAUACCCUGGUAGUCCACGCCCUAAACGAUGUCAACUAGCCGU